rnacentral:rRNA from 1 species
CAGUAGCCACGGGAAUACGGAGGGUGCAAGCGUUAAUCGGAAUUACUGUGCGUAAAGCGUGCGUAGGCGGUUCGUUAAGUCUGUUGUGAAAGCCCCGGGCUCAACCUGGGAAUGGCAAUGGAUACUGGCGAGCUAGAGUGUGUCAGAGGAUGGUGGAAUUCCCGGUGUAGCGGUGAAAUGCGUAGAGAUCGGGAGGAACAUCAGUGGCGAAGGCGGCCAUCUGGGACAACACCGACGCUGAGGCACGAAAGCGUGGGGAGCAAACAGGAUUAGAUACCCGCGUAGUCCCUGUCUCUUAUAC